AGCAAGCGAAAGGAAAGGUUUUACGAAAACGAAACGAAAUCGAGAGCGUUGUUAUCUAUUUCUUCAACAAUGUGCAUCUGUUGCCGUGAUUGAGUUAUUUUCGGCUACAUUCCGCUUGCCAACAGUGCCGACAAGUGUUUCAGUCUAAGCGCAGAACCUGGUGUUGAGUCCAAUGUAGUUGCAGACCCUGGUGCAGAGUCCCAGCAGGCAGGAGUUGAUAUUGCAGGAGCGUCCAGCCAGCAGAUUUCAAAACAAUGUAAGAGACGUAUUAGGACCGAAUUGAGAGACCAGGGUAUUCUUCCAACGGUUCCUCAAGGAGUAAAAAUGGAACAUGGACGACAUGGACGUAACAAAGUGAAUCGAAUGGGUAAAUUGCAGCUGGUGAAUUACGUUUUGCGCAACAGACAUGAUCCAGCUGUUCUCAAGUUCCUGAGAAGUAGCCAGAAAAAAAUUGUAAAACAUUUUCGAGGCGAGCUAGAGACCUUCUAAAGCUCGAGUAUGUUGUGAUCCCUGCACUCCUUAAUUUAUUUUAUAAGUUAUUUUAUGUAUAUGCAACCGUCCAGUUGUUCUGUUAGAAAAACCAAAAAUUAUGAUUAUUUAUAACAUGACCCACGAAGGCAUAUAUUGUCUUUAUAAUUUGUCAUUAAUUUUUCCUUCUUUUCAUAUUCGUCCAGAAACCACGUGACACUCUCUCCUUUCUUGUCACCAAAAUUAUGACGUCAGCGGGAUUUUUUUUAAAACUCGAGCGCACCCCCCUGACUUGUCCUCUGAUUUUGGCAAGUGUCUCGUGCAUGCUCUGUGUCGUAGAAAAAGUUGCGAGUGAUAAGUUAAGUGCAGGAACAUUCGGCGCCACCUCACCUAGCGAGCUUGGAGUGCGGGUUUCUAGGGUUGGUGCCGGCACCCUGCCGGGCUCUGCCCAUUUAAAAUUUGAACACACCAGCGUGCGCCGCUCUGGCCGAAUAAAUUUUGCUCGCGGUUCUCGGACUUCGGUGCUGAGAUGAGCGACACCGAAGAGUGUGCUUAUAAUUAUAAGGAUCAAAAUCACGUGUGCCAAAUUUUUUGGAAUUUCGAGAUGCAUCUCAAGGUGUUUUUAUUGUAAGCUGAAUUUAAAUUACCACUGUUUGAUCGCAUGUCUGACACUGAUUUUUCGUACAAUUAAAACAAUAAUU